UACGUAGGGGGCUAGCGUUGUCCGGAAUCAUUGGGCGUAAAGAGCGUGUAGGCGGUCCGGUAAGUCCGCUGUGAAAGUCGGGGGCUCAACCCUCGAAUGCCGGUGGAUACUGUCGGGCUAGAGUGCGGAAGAGGCGAGUGGAAUUUCUGGUGUAGCGGUGAAAUGCGCAGAUAUCAGGAGGAACACCUAUUGCGAAGGCAGCUCGCUGGGACGUAACUGACGCUGAGACGCGAAAGCGUGGGGAGCAAACAGG
rnacentral:rRNA from 1 species